rnacentral:rRNA from 1 species
AGCGAACGCUGGCGGCAGGCUUAACACAUGCAAGUCGAGCGGGCACUUUCGGGUGUCAGCGGCGGACGGGUGAGUAACGCGUGGGAACGUGCCCUCUGGUUCGGAAUAACUCAGGGAAACUUGAGCUAAUACCGGAUACGCCCUUUUGGGGAAAGGCUUGCUGCCGGAGGAUCGGCCCGCGUCUGAUUAGCUAGUUGGUGAGGUAACGGCUCACCAAGGCGACGAUCAGUAGCUGGUCUGAGAGGAUGAUCAGCCACACUGGGACUGAGACACGGCCCAGACUCCUACGGGAGGCAGCAGUGGGGAAUAUUGGACAAUGGGCGCAAGCCUGAUCCAGCCAUGCCGCGUGAGUGAUGAAGGCCUUAGGGUUGUAAAGCUCUUUUAUCCGGGACGAUAAUGACGGUACCGGAGGAAUACGCCCCGGCUAACUUCGUG